rnacentral:rRNA from 1 species
UACAGGGGGGGCAAGCGUUGUUCGGAAUUACUGGGCGUAAAGGGCCAGUAGGCGGCCAACUAAGUCCGACGUGAAAUCCCCAGGCUUAACCUGGGAACUGCGUCGGAUACUGGAUGGCUUGAAUUCGGGAGAGGGAUGCAGAAUUCCAGGUGUAGCGGUGAAAUGCGUAGAUAUCUGGAGGAAUACCGGUGGCGAAGGCGGCAUCCUGGACCGGCAUUGACGCUGAUGAGCGAAAGCUAGGGGAGCAAACGGG